AGGUGUGAUCAUACCAACACUAGUGCACCGAAUCCCAUCAGAACUCCGUAGUUUAGCAUGCUUGGGCGAUAGUAGUACUUGGAUGGGUGACCUCCUAGGAAGUCCUCGUGUUGCACCUC
rnacentral:rRNA from 2 species